rnacentral:lncRNA from 1 species
GUUAGCUUUACUUCAAUUUCCUUGGAAAAAUUGGUUCAGCCUAUGCCUUUUGUGUCUCAACUCUCUCACAAACCUAUGCUACAGGAUUGCAGAAAACAAGUAAUAACAUGCAAGAACUCUGACAAUAUAGAAGGAUUUUCAUGGAUAGACUACAGCAAAUUUAGAGGAACUGAAUAUGGGAAAGGAAUGGAAGAUUUGUUGAAUCAACAUCGCCAACUGGCGAUGUGUAUCAUGGAGGAAGGAAGACUGGAGAAGAACCUACUCAAGGAACUGGAAAUCUUCAGGCUACUGAUGCAGGAUGGCUCAUUUUUAUAACAUGGCUGUUC